rnacentral:lncRNA from 1 species
GAUCAUCAGCAACAUUGGAUGCCGCUGCAGACUAGCUUGUAAAAUUGCAGGAGUGUUAUAAUGGACAAUGGACCUUCAUGUCGAAAAGAGCAACAGGGCCGAGCUCGGUAAAACAUGUUUCGCAGUACAGGUACUUUGAUUUGCUUGCGGGGCUCGAACUUUCCAUCCCACCUUUGCAAGCUUUAUUUAUGGGUAGUUCCUUUUAGGCUUUCGAACACCCCCCCCCCCUCCCCCCCCACCCCCGCCCCCCCCGAUUUGUUUUUUCUCUUACCCCCCUCCACCAUUCCCGCCUCCCCCCCCCCCCCCCCCCCCCCCCCCCCCCCCCCCCCCCCCCCCCCCCCCCCCCCCCCCCCCCCCCCCCCCCCCCCCCCCCCCCCCCCCCCCCCCCCCCCCCCCCCCCCCCCCCCCCCCCCCCCCCCCCCCCCCCCCCCCCCCCCCCCCCCCCCCCCCCCCCCCCCCCCCCCCCCCACCCCCACACACCCCCCCCCCCCCCCCAAGCUGGGAUUAGAUGUCAUUUUCUCUUGUUUCUUGUUUAUGUACCUCCAUUUGAAUUGAGAUUCUUCUUGCAUCAGUUUUGUAUCAGUUUAGCGGUCAGUUCAUCAUCUUAACUGCAUCAAUAUAUAUCCAGCAUGACUUUCCGAUCGUGCCAGUUUUACAAAUUGUUUUCGCCUUUCGAUCUUAGCUCCCAGGCUUUAAGUCCUUGAGGUGGCUGAAGAAAAUCAGUAGUGACCGUUGCCUUGCGCAAAAUGCCAGUAUGUGGUGGGCUGUGUUCCCUAGUGUCGUGUGUGGUAGGGUGGCAAUGAACAGCCUUGAGAUAGAGGAAAAGCUAGGUUUUUUUUACAUCUUCUCCCUUGUUUUCUUUCUACUGUGCUGGAUAGAUUUAGGCGUUAAAAUGUCAAAACUCAAAAGUGUUGCUUGAGACAAAUGCAGGAGAAAACAUAGCUCUAGAGAAUCUGGGUCUGCUUGGUCUUCCUUGUCAGUCUGUUUGUUGGCUGUCGUUGACUAUACUAGUAAGACACAAGAAUCACGAGAGUAGGAAGCUAGCUUAGGGCUUAUUGACGAGCCAAGCAGCUCGGUUUUCGGUUUGGACAAAAAUCGUCUGUGACUCGGCUUGAUUUUAAACGAGUCAAGCUUGAGCUAGGGUGUGUCCGAAUGGAUAGGCUCGUGAGCUGGCUCGAGCUCGAAAGCCAACUCGAAUAUAUGACUCGUUAGUAGACUCAAUGAUAUGCAACAUGUCGAUGUUUCUUUUAGUAAAACCAUAUAUAAUAGAAUAUACGUAGAAACUUACUUAUAAAUUUUAGAAUAGAUCGAAAUGUUGAUGUUUCUUUUAGUGUGCAAGCUUCAAAUUUAGCUCAAAAUGGACUCGCAUCGAGGGUUUUAAUGAGCAAAGUUUGAAUUGAGCUCGAGUAUGCUCGUCAGUGGUAGUUAACAAGCCAGGCUCGAAUAGCCUCGAGCUAGACACAUGACAAAAACUUUUAGCUCAAAUUUGAGCUCGGCCAAAAAUUAACAAGCCAAAUUUGAGUACAGUGAAGUUCGGCUGAGUUUGUGAAUCGCCCUCAGCGGAGUUAUUGAGUUGAGCUGUGGCCCCGUAGGAAGGAAAGAGUUGUGCUAGUCUGUGUCAGUCGGGGG